rnacentral:rRNA from 1 species
GGGCUGGCGGCAGCUACACAUGCAAGUCGGACGGUAGCACAGAGAGAGCUUGCUCCUCGGGUGACGAGUGGCGGACGGGUGAGUAAUGUCUGGGAAACUGCCCGAUGGAGGGGGAUAACUACUGGAAACGGUAGCUAAUACCGCAUAACGUCGCAAGACCAAAGUGGGGGACCUUCGGGCCUCACACCAUCGGAUGUGCCCAGAUGGGAUUAGCUUGUAGGCGGGGUAACGGCCCACCUAGGCGACGAUCCCUAGCUGGUCUGAGAGGAUGACCAGCCACACUGGAACUGAGACACGGUCCAGACUCCUACGGGAGGCAGCAGUGGGGAAUAUUGCACAAUGGGCGCAAGCCUGAUGCAGCCAUGCCGCGUGUAUGAAGAAGGCCUUCGGGUUGUAAAGUACUUUCAGCGGGGAGGAAGGUGUUGAGGUUAACAACCUCCACAAAUCACAAAACCCGCCUACCAACCUCCCGCUCUCUUCU